UGGUUGAUCGCGUCGGAAGUGUAAUCUUGGGGCUUAACCCUGAGCGUGCUUUCGAUACGGGUUGACUUGAGGAAGGUAGGGGAGAAUGGAAUUCCUGGUGGAGCGGUGGAAUGCGCAGAUAUCAGGAGGAACACCAGUGGCGAAGGCGGUUCUCUGGGCCUUUCCUGACGCUGAGGAGCGAAAGCGUGGGGAGCGAACAGGCUUAGAUACCCUGGUAGUCCACGCUGUAAACGGUGGGUACUAGGUGUGGGGUCCAUUCCACGGGUUCCGCGCCGUAGCUAACGCUUUAAGUACCCCGCCUGGGGAGUACGGCCGCAAGGCUAAAACUCAAAGGAAUUGACGGGGCCCCGCACAAGCAGCGGAGCAUGCGGAUUAAUUCGAUGCAACGCGUAGAACCUUACCUGGGUUUGACAUGGAUCGGGAGUGCUCAGAGAUGGGUGUGCCUCUUUUGGGGUCGGUUCACAGGUGGUGCAUGGCUGUCGUCAGCUCGUGUCGUGAGAUGUUGGGUUAAGUCCCGCAACGAGCGCAACCCUUGUUCACUGUUGCCAGCACGUUAUGGUGGGGACUCAGUGGAGACCGCC
rnacentral:rRNA from 1 species